UACGGGGGGGGCAAGCGUUGUUCGGAAUUACUGGGCGGAAAGGGCUCGUAGGUGGCCAACUAAGUCAGACGUGAAAUCCCCAGGCUCAACUUGGGAACUGCGUCUGAUACUGGAUGGCUUGAAUUCGGGAGAGGGAUGCAGAAUUCCAGGUGUAGCGGUGAAAUGCGUAGAUAUCGCUUGGAACGCCGAAGGUGAAAACAGGUCGCUGGGGAUGUGCCGACGCUGAGACACGAAAGCCAGGGGAGCAAACGGG
rnacentral:rRNA from 1 species